rnacentral:rRNA from 1 species
CCUAAUACAAGGGAGGUAGUGACAAUAAAUAACAAUGCUGGGAUUUAUAGUCUUAGCAAUUGGAAUGAGAACAAUUAACCCUUAACGAGUAACAAUUAGAGGGCAAGUCUGGUGCCAGCAGCCGCGGUAAUUCCAGCUCUAAUAGCGUAUAUUAAAGUUGUUGCAGUUAAAAAGCUCGUAGUUGGAUUUUAGUAAGAUUAUUAGAAUAGGUCGGGUUAGAAAUAACUCUUGUACUUGUUUCAUCUUACUUGAUUUACUGGUUACUCGACUCUGUUCUUUAUUGAAUGGAGUAGUAUCGCAAGGUAUCAUUAAGAGUUAAAUUGCUUAUAAGAGUAGAAUCAGGGUAAAACUUGGUUUAAUGCUUAUGAGAGCACAGUUUGAUUUUUAAUGGGGUUCCAGUUCAUUUACUUUGAGUAAAUUAGAGUGUUCAAAGCAGCCUCUUGGGGCAUUGAAUAUUAUUAGCAUGGGAUAAUAGAAUAGGAUUUCUCUUAUAUUUUAUUGGUAUAAUAUUAGUUGAAAUAAUGAUUAAUAGGGAUAGUUGGGGGC